GGAGAUCUUUUGUGAUGAGAAGCUGAAGAUCAUUUUUGAUGGAAAAGAGAAAGUUGGAUUCCUGGAGAUUGGAAAGUUGCUAUCACGCCAUUUUGUGAAGACUGGUUAAAUGUCAUUGUUGGGUGUUUAAUUUAUGGCUUGACUCUUCGUGGAGCCGGCUCUAGACUACUAAUCUUGAAUCUAUGUGCUGUAAUGUUGAUGGUUUCCUGUUGUUUUAGAGCCUGGCCAGGCUUUUAUGGAUUG
rnacentral:misc_RNA from 1 species